UACGGGGGGGGGCAAGCGUUGUUCGGAAUUACUGGGCGUAAAGAGUGUGUAGGCGGUUCUCUAAGUUCCGUGUGAAAUCUCCCGGCUUAACUGGGAGGGUGCGCGGAAAACUGGAGGGCUGGAGUAUGGGAGAGGAAAGCGGAAUUCCUGGUGUAGCGGCGAAAUGCGUAGAUAUCAGGAGGAACACCUGCGGUGUAGACAGCUUUCUGGACCAUCACUGACGCUGAGACACGAAAGCGUGGGUAGCAAACAGG
rnacentral:rRNA from 1 species